CCCAGACUCCUACGGGAGGCAGCAGUGGGGGAUAUUGCACAAUGGGGAAACCCUGAUGCAGCGACGCCGCGUGGGCGAAGAAGUAUUUCGGUAUGUAAAGCCCUAUCAGCAGGGAAGAAGAAAUGACGGUACCUGAGUAAGAAGCACCGGCUAAAUACGUGCCAGCAGCCGCGGUAAUACGUAUGGUGCAAGCGUUAUCCGGAUUUACUGGGUGUAAAGGGAGCGCAGGCGGUACGGCAAGUCUGAUGUGAAAGCCCGGGGCUCAACCCCGGUACUGCAUUGGAAACUGUCGGACUAGAGUGUCGGAGGGGUAAGUGGAACUCCUAGUGUAGCGGUGAAAUGCGUAGAUAUUAGGAGGAACACCAGUGGCGAAGGCGGCUUACUGGACGAUUACUGACGCUGAGGCUCGAAAGCGUGGGGAGCAAACAGGAUUAGAUACCCGGGUA
rnacentral:rRNA from 1 species